GGGUUCCGGAGCCGCGACCUGGCCCGUCAGCCUGCGAGCCGCCCGGGCUCUGCACUCGACCCCGCGCCCCGUGCCCCGUGCCCCGCGUCCCCGAUCCUCAUCCCGCGCCCCGGAUCGGCGUCCCUGAUCCGUACCCUGAGCCCGUUAUCCACAUCCCUGAUCCGCACCCCAGUGCCUGUACCGCACCGGUCGGAUAGUGGGCACGGAAGGGAGGCGGCGGCGCGGCUGACACCUGGGCUGCGGGAGCCAGUGCGCUGCCAGUGCGCUGCCGCCUCUGCCACCUCCCGGUCCCGCCUGGGCCAGCCAGCUGAAAACCCGAGCUGCUUGUCAAGUGGUUUGGCUCCGGGCGUUGUUCCUGGCGUGAGUUCAGCUCCGGGACCGGUGCGUUUCGGCGCUCGGGUUUUUCAUUCGAAACUUUCUGCUCGGGUCGAGCGUUACUUGCGUGCUGCGGCUGCGCCCAGGUCGCUUGCUGCAGUGGGCUGUGGGUGUGUGCGCGGGCGGGUCCCGCGUGGUGCUCCGGACUGGAUCCACAGACUAUGAUAUUUCAAAUGUGCCAGCGCCAGCCACCUCCAGCCUGGACCUGCAGCCCAGUUGGGCAGCUGCUGUCGGAGAAGCCUUUCCCCGAGAGCUGGGUUUUCCUAGGCGUCAGAGCGCCGCCGCGUGUUCCUCUUUCCUCUCUCUCUGGGUUUGCUGGACCAGCUAUCAACAUCUUUGCUCACAUUGUUUGCUUCGCUGUUCCUUUUGCGCAAGAAAUUUGUGUGGUGUCUUUGGUACUAUAGAGAAAGACAGAAUUCGCCUUUAAUAAAAUUACGAAAUAUU
rnacentral:lncRNA from 1 species